rnacentral:lncRNA from 10 species
ACUUUUGUUGGAGCCUGAAUGCAAGAGCCAUUCUCACUGGGAUGCCACAGCUCUGGAGACUUCUUAUAGAUGUUGUUUGGAACACUCCAGGCUUGGAGAUGGGCCUUUAGACACUGCCUGUAGUACUGCUUAGCAACAGCUCUACAGACAUAAAGAGAUUGCAGUGGCUGCUCCUUCCUGGCUCCACCAUUCAGCAAGAGCUCCACAGAGGAUGAAGAGAUCCUCCUAGCUUGGCGGAAUACUCUGCUCUGAUGGAAGUACCAUCCUGGUCCAAACAUGAAAGAAUUCCCAACAUCAAGAUUGAUUGAAACAUAUUCAAUGGGUGGUGACCAGAUGGAUAUAAACGGGCUGUGGAAAAAGAGAAUGCAUGGCCAAAAAUGGUGGUGCUCUCUGUCCAAAAACUGAGGCCCUAUGACCAUGAAUGAAGCCAGAGGGCAGGUAGGAAUAGAUCAUUUGCUCCAGAAGAAGCUGGUUGCCAUGUCUUGAGGACAGUAAACCCUCUGGGGAGGUUCCUGUGGUAAGGAACAAGGGCUCCUGGCAAUAGCCUCUGAGUGAGCCACCUUGAAAAUGGAUUGUCCAGCCCCAGUCAAGCUUUCAGAUGACUGUAGCUCCUGCCAAUGUCUUCACCACAACCUCAUGAGAUCCCAAGCUACAACCACUCAGAACUUCAUCUUUUGGGAAGCACCAGGGAGAGCUGCCUGUGCCUGGCAGAAGCUGCCCAUGCCCCACUGAUACCCCACAGUACUUCCUGUUCUGCUUAGUACUCCUGCUUCUUUCUACAAACAACUGUGAUUCUCUACCUGGGAGCUUCCUCUGGCCACAGGAGCCUGCUCACCUGAUUGGGACACCCUAGCAGUACUGGCUCAUAGAUGGAAGGGACUUGCCUUGUCGCUGAUGAGACUUUCGACUUGGACUUUUGAGUCAAUGCUGGAAUGAGUUAAGACUUUGGGGAACUGUUGGAAGGGUGUGAUUGUGUUUUGAAUUGUGAGGACAUGAGAUUUUGAAGAGGCUAAUGGCAGCGUCCCCACCUAAAUCUCUUCUUGAAUUGUAGUUCCCAUAAUCCCCACGUGUCGUGGGGUGGAGCCGGUGGAGAUAAUUGAAUCAUGGGAACACUUUCCCCCAUGCUGUUAUUGUGAUUGUGAAUUCUCACGAGAUCUGAUGGUUGUAUAAACGCCUUCCCUCUUCGCUGGGCACUCAUUUUUCUCCUUCCUGCCACCAUGUGAAGAAGGAUAUGCUUGCUUCUUGUGCCAUGAUUACAAGAACACACUCAGAAAUUUUCUCAACACAGUUUCUAUGCAGAGAAGAGAUGUGGGACAGAUUUGAACUGCUGUCAUAUUUGUAUGAACCCAAGACAUUUUCCAAGACCAAGAGGGAUAAAGACAGCAAUUUCUAUGACUGGCAUUUUACGUGCAUGCACUGUUUCCAAGUGUUCUUGUGUUCUGUGCCUUAAACAUUCUGUGUUGCAACUUUAUGAAUUGAAUUAAAGAUAAUCCCAAGCCCCCAAUUGUCUCAAAAAGUGAAAAAGUAAAUGUUAUAGAAAGAAAAGCGGGAAAAACUUUAAGCAUGAAAUAAAAGAUGGGUUGUGAUAAAAGAGGACUGAAGAAGGAAAAGGAAUGAAAGGUUCUGCCAUCCUUCAUGGCAGCCCACUCCACUUGGUAUGAGAUACUGCUCCCUUGGCUGAAAGUUAACUGCUGUACUCCCUCCACUUUCUAUAAAUGACUCCCUGUGCCUUUCCUUCACCACACAACUCACACUCUCUUCCUUCCUAGUGAGUCCACUAAGGCUUCACUGCAUUAUUACAUUUAUUUCAUUUAGGAAAAACUGACUUUAUUUUCCUUCAAAUUGUUUUUUAUUGUUUAUAUGAGCU